rnacentral:misc_RNA from 1 species
GAGGGCGCCAGGGUGGGGUGAGAGCAAGAUCAGAAGUCCAGACAUGAAAGCACAAAGGGGAACAACCGAAACAGUAGCAAGACUGGCUUUUUAGCAUGUUUGCUCGCUUUCUCCUUAUUCUGCCAACAAUCAGUCAUAUUUAGCAAAUUCUCUGGCGUGUGUAUUGCAAUGUUUGUUCUAGCAAAAGUUACGGACAAACAAAUAUCACAGAGACUUUGGCAUGUAAAUCUUCACUGUUCAAAUUCUUGGUUGCUAAAUUUCUCCAUCUCUUUCUUGAAAACAGGCACGACAAUUUCUUGUAAGUUGACCAGCACCUUCAGGUUAGAACCCAUCUUUCUUUCUUGCAUUUGCUGAUGAGUUAGGCAAGAAAAAGCAAGGGUCAACACUCCCAAGCAGUUACUUUGAAAGAGGCAAGACAAUAAUUGGACCUCCACCUGAAAUCCAUAGUUGAAUGGCCCACGUGUCUCCAAUCUGUGAAUCCAUUCACUCUUUCCUGCUGUGAUAUAUAGGCUCCAUUGGCCAAUAUAUGUCAAUUAUAACUGAGCAAAACGACAAACAGUAAUUUUCUUGACCAAUGGUGACUAAGUGGCUUUCUGGUUUUGACUUGUACCAAUCUUAUAAAUAGCCAAAGCAACUAUUUCACAGAAAACGGCUAAGUCCGCUAGGAGUUAGUAGUGAGGCAUUGGCUGGAAAACGCGCUCGAGGUGAAUUGAAGGCUCUAGAUCUCCAAAUAGAAUCAUCCAGUGGAAGGGUCUGUUUACCAGUUCCAAAUUACCAUUAGGUUAACUGGUGAUUCAAAUAAGACUGUUGGACUUACUUCACCUUGCUCAGUCGAGGACCUAGAUUCACUUGUAGCCCUGCAAAGCUUGUACCUUUCUCCAAGUAUUUCAGUUUCACUCAUGAUGGAUGCCCCAAAACUUGGGCCAUAUGUAAAUUUUUGUGCCUCACUGGUUCUGUUUCUUUGUUCAGUUCCAGAUUAUGAUAUCUCUGUUGUUGAUUUUAGCAUGAAGAAUGCCACUUAUGCUUUUUUAUCCUUGUAUUCUUUAUGCAAUGACUUGGAAUGUAGCCUGCAUAUAUUCACAAUUCCUGGCUAGGAACAACCCAAAUUGCUGCAUCUCUUUCUCAUCAUUCUAUAAUCAGUAAAUCCCUCCCUGGCCCACUUGUGCUCACAUAUGAAAUUUAAACCAUUCACAGUUGAAUCUUGAUUGAUGUGUAGUGUUGAGUAUAUUGAAUUACUUAUGUUAUUCGAUUGCAAGUCUCAAUCCUCUCAUCUCAUUACACAAACUCAAAAUAUUAAAAA